rnacentral:lncRNA from 1 species
CUGAGGCACAGUGACUUUGGGAAAACCCGAUUUCUGAAGACCCACCGUGUAAUAACAUUCUCUCAGCAACAGCUCACAUUGUCCUCCUAUUCGUGUUUACUCAGAUGAGACGUGCCAUUGUAGGAGAGGAGGGAGGCUUCUAGAUCAUCUGGUCAUAUUUUAGAUAAAUAGCGACUCAAGUCCAUAGACAUGACAGGAUUUGUCUGGACACACGUGGUGGUCAUGCCAGGACUUCCACCCAGUCCUCUAACUCUCUGUCCAGCGCUCCUUCUGCUACCACGAUAAUACAGACUACAACAGAGGAGUACCCGAAAUGCCUUGUUCAGCCUCCAGCCUCUAGUAGAGAAUGUUGUUUACACAGGGGAAAUUCAGAGCAUUCCAGAAUGAUUAGAUGCCUUGGAAAGGGGAAUGGUGCAGAGACUCACCGGACGCCUACUGAGAGCAAGGAUUUAGGAGAAUAUCUCCCUUAAGCUCAUGAAAAUCUGUAAAUUUGGUACUGUGAUUUCUAUGUAUAGUACUUUGGAGCUUACAGAGGCAAAUAAGACCAGAAUCCAAGCUCAGGUCUCUGACACCAAAAUCCACCAUACUGUGGUGCAUCUGAUGUAAGGUAUAAAAGAAGCAGUAGCCGCCUCUCACAGUCUGCCUUCCUCCAACCUCCCAGACAAUUAUACUGAUUUUGAUGGACUCAAACAUCAUCUUCUGAGAGGUCAAAGGUUGGAGUUACUUGUAAUUUAUUUUGACUGAAAUAGGCAACUAUCUGGCUAUAGUUGAAAGGUAUAUGGGAUUGCUAGGGUAUAUAACGAUCAAGUUAGGCUACCCAAUGGUUAUGAAUGCAGCACAUAUCCAAAGCUCUGUGUGAUGAUAUAUUUGAGUGGAUUAAAUAUAUUAAAAGUUCUCUUUUUCUCCUUGGCCACCUUACUUGAUUGCUUUUCUGUCUAGGAGUGAUUCACCAUAAGCCAGGUUGCCUUGUCCAUUGCUGGCCACUUAAGGUGUUGUAAAAGUUAAGAUAGGUUAUAAUUGUAAAGUAUAGUACUACAUGAUUUAAGAAAAAAUAUCCAUGUAUGGAAUAUCUUUAAAAGGCUAAGUGUGGUAGCAUAUGUAAUUCUGACUUGUAU